rfam:Populus trichocarpa isolate Nisqually-1 chromosome 4, whole genome shotgun sequence.
UAAUCUGUCAGAAGCAGAUUUUUAUUUAGUUAUGGCAAACUCACACCUAAUUGCUUAAAAUCACCUGUGAGAAUUAUUGUGUGAAGAAUAACUUUUUAAAUUUUUAACUAGAAU